GACAGAGGGUGCAAGCGUUGUUCGGAAUCAUUGGGCGUAAAGGGCGCGUAGGCGGCUUGGUAAGUUGGAUGUGAAAGCCCCGGGCUCAACCCGGGAAGUGCAUCCAAUACUGCUUUGCUUGAGUCCUGGAGAGGGUGGUGGAAUUCCCAGUGUAGAGGUGAAAUUCGUAGAUAUUGGGAGGAACACCCGUGGCGAAGGCGGCCACCUGGACAGAGACUGACGCUGAGGCGCGAAAGCUAGGGGAGCAAACAGG
rnacentral:rRNA from 1 species